rnacentral:rRNA from 1 species
ACUCAAAGGAAUUGACGGGGGCCCGCACAAGCGGUGGAGCAUGUGGUUCAAUUCGAAGCAACGCGCAGAACCUUACCAACCUUUGACAUGUCCCGUAUGAGCAACAGAGAUGUAGCUCUUCAGUUCGGCUGGCGGGAACACAGGUGCUGCAUGGCUGUCGUCAGCUCGUGUCGUGAGAUGUUGGGUUAAGUCCCGCAACGAGCGCAACCCUCGCCCUUAGUUGCCAUCAUUCAGUUGGGCACUCUAAGGGGACUGCCGGUGAUAAGCCGCGAGGAAGGUGGGGAUGACGUCAAGUCCUCAUGGCCCUUACAGGUUGGGCUACACACGUGCUACAAUGGCGGUGACAAUGGGAUGCAAUGGAGCGAUCCUGCGCAAAUCUCAAAAAGCCGUCUCAGUUCGGAUUGCACUCUGCAACUCGAGUGCAUGAAGUUGGAAUCGCUAGUAAUCGCAGAUCAGCACGCUGCGGUGAAUACGUUCCCGGGCCUUGUACACACCGCCCGU